GUUCAUCACCACAUCAUCAAAUUUCAAAUGCAAAAUCUUUAUAAUUCCCCCCUAGAAAUAUAUCCCAAGCUCAUCAUCCCAACUAAUACAAAUGAAUAUGCAGGUCCUCUCUGCUACAAUACACACUCCCUGUUCUACCCUCUUGCAAAUAUAAGAAGGCCAUCACAACCAUCCAACGAAUAAAUACAUACACCAUAUAUAUCAAAACCCUAUAUCACAUCCUCCCACUAUUUAUCCUUCCCCACCAUUUCU
rnacentral:misc_RNA from 1 species